GUUGCCGUGGCAGCAGCGGGACAGAUGGAUGUCUUUGUCGCUGCUAUGUUCUUGUUCAGACACUGGAGGGAGUUCUAACUUUAACGAUGAGGGUUCCGGUUCCUUUGAGCUUUCAUUUGAAUCUCCAAGUGACAAAUGGACUCGAACACUAAAGUCCUUCCUGCAAGAAAAGCUUUCAGCGCUGCAUGAAAAGUGCUUCAAGGAGGUAACGGCAACCUUGUGAGGUGACC